rfam:Salmo salar isolate Sally breed double haploid chromosome ssa18, whole genome shotgun sequence.
GCUUUUGGCCGUGUCACCCUGGACACGCCUGUUCAGGGUCGAGCCUGGUUAGUACUGGGAGGGGAGACCACCUGGGAAUACCAUGUGCCAUAAGAU